GCGGCAUGGAGAAGAUGAAGCUAUACGGGAGGAAUGGGACCAAACCUCUGGAAGUUCAAAAUCGCUGGAACACAGAACAACUCGUUUCCAUGUUUAGUGUCGGGGAAGUUGUAUGCCUGUAGCUGGAAUGAAUGAGUAUGCAGAUUACGUCUGGGUUCGCAGCAGACGAUAUCAGCAACGUACCCCACCUGGUCGCAUAAGUCAGUGACAGCCAGACAAAGGUGGUCCAAGCACAGGACUCGAACGAUCACCACGGCCGAUCAUAUUAGGAGCGACAUCCUUAAUUCAUC